rnacentral:lncRNA from 1 species
AGCAGCUCCACCUGCCUGAGGUUUGAAAAGAGACUUGGGCAGAAGGAAAGCAGCUUGGGGCUGGUGGUUGCAGCUCCAGAUGCUCUGUGGGCCACCGAUUGCUUUCCCACCUCCCUUUUCACCACCACAGUCUUUGAUUUUCCAGCUGGGUCUCCUGAUUUUCUGAAAAGACAC